rnacentral:rRNA from 1 species
GACGAACCGUGCGAACGUUAUUCGGAAUCACUGGGCUUAAAGCGCGCGCAGGCGGGGCGGCACGUCGGUCGCUGAAAUCCCCCGGCUCAACCGGGGAACGGGCGCCGAAACGACCGCCCUGGAGGGGCGUAGGGGGAUCGGGAACUUCCGGUGGAGCGGUGAAAUGCGUUGAGAUCGGAAGGAACGCCCGCGGCGAAAGCGCGGUCCUGGACGCCUACUGACGCUGAGGCGCGAAAGCGUGGGGAGCGAACAGG